GCCUGCAUGAAGUCGGAAUUGCUAGUAAUCGCGGAUCAGCAUGCCGCGGUGAAUACGUUCUCGGGCCUUGUACACACCGCCCGUCACACCAUGGGAGUCGGUAACACCCGAAGUCUGUAGCCUGACGCAAGAGGGCGCAGCCGAAGGUGGGAUUGAUGACUGGGGGUGAAGUCGUAACAAGGUACC
rnacentral:rRNA from 1 species